GACGAACGCUGGCGGCGUGCUUCACACAUGCAAGUCGAACGGGAUCCAACUCGUGGCAACACGAGGGAAGAUCGAGUGGCGAACGGGUGCGUAACACGUGAGAAACCUGCCCCGGUCUCUGGGAUAACAGUGGGAAACCACUGCUAAUACCGGAUACCUCCUCCUGGUCACAUGGCCGGGAGAAGAAAGAAUUUCGGAUCGGGAGGGUCUCGCGGCCUAUCAGCUUGUUGGCGGGGUAACGGCCCACCAAGGCAA
rnacentral:rRNA from 1 species